rnacentral:rRNA from 1 species
GACGAACGCUGGCGGCGUGCCUAAUACAUGCAAGUUGUGCGCUGAAGGUUGGUACUUGUACCAACUGGAUGAGCAGCGAACGGGUGAGUAACGCGUGGGGAAUCUGCCUUUGAGCGGGGGACAACAUUUGGAAACGAAUGCUAAUACCGCAUAAAAACUUUAAACACAAGUUUUAAGUUUGAAAGAUGCAAUUGCAUCACUCAAAGAUGAUCCCGCGUUGUAUUAGCUAGUUGGUGAGGUAAAGGCUCACCAAGGCGAUGAUACAUAGCCGACCUGAGAGGGUGAUCGGCCACAUUGGGACUGAGACACGGCCCAAACUCCUACGGGAGGCAGCAGUAGGGAAUCUUCGGCAAUGGACGAAAGUCUGACCGAGCAACGCCGCGUGAGUGAAGAAGGUUUUCGGAUCGUAAAACUCUGUUGGUAGAGAGGAACGUUGGUGAGAGUGGAAAGCUCAUCAAGUGACGGUAACUACCCAGAAAGGGACGGCUAACUACGUG